ACGGCCUACCAAGGCGACGACGGGUAGCCGGCCUGAGAGGGUGUCCGGCCACACUGGGACUGAGAUACGGCCCAGACUCCUACGGGAGGCAGCAGUGGGGAAUAUUGCACAAUGGGCGCAAGCCUGAUGCAGCGACGCCGCGUGGGGGAUGACGGCCUUCGGGUUGUAAACCUCUUUCACCAUCGACGAAGGUCCGGGUUCUCUCGGAUUGACGGUAGGUGGAGAAGAAGCACCGGCCAACUACGUGCCAGCAGCCGCGGUAAUACGUAGGGUGCGAGCGUUGUCCGGAAUUACUGGGCGUAAAGAGCUCGUAGGUGGUUUGUCGCGUUGUUCGUGAAAUCUCACGGCUUAACUGUGAGCGUGCGGGCGAUACGGGCAGACUAGAGUACUGCAGGGGAGACUGGAAUUCCUGGUGUAGCGGUGGAAUGCGCAGAUAUCAGGAGGAACACCGGUGGCGAAGGCGGGUCUCUGGGCAGUAACUGACGCUGAGGAGCGAAAGCGUGGGGAGCGAACAGGAUUAGAUACCCUGGUAGUCCACGCCGUAAACGGUGGGUACUAGGUGUGGGUUUCCUUCCUUGGGAUCCGUGCCGUAGCUAACGCAUUAAGUACCCCGCCUGGGGAGUACGGCCGCAAGGCUAAAACUCAAAGGAAUUGACGGGGGCCCGCACAAGCGGCGGAGCAUGUGGAUUAAUUCGAUGCAACGCGAAGAACCUA
rnacentral:rRNA from 1 species